rnacentral:tRNA from 1 species
GGUAGAAUGGCUGAGAUUUAGGCGAUAGAUUGUAAAUCUAUUUAGGAGGGUUCACCUCUUCUACCA